AGAGGCUUCACACAAUGAUGGCAAACAGAUUCCAAUAAUUUUCUCAGUAGUAUCCUCAUAGCACAAGUGAAAUGCUGAUCUUUACAAGUAUGGCUGGGACUGGAUCCAAAGACCAAGACAGUCAAUGUAAACAGACUCUGGAUAAAUUUCUAUGCACAAUGGAGACUUAAGAAGUCAGGAAUAGACACAGGCUGGAUAUAACGGGGCUCAAGAAGCGUUAUUCUGGCCUUUCUUGAGAAGAGGAUAUGAGAAAGCAAGACACUCCUUAGGCCAUUGCUUGGAUACCUACUGCAGGCAGAGGGGAUAUGGAUGAGGAAAACAUCCAACAAGGAAGUCUCAAAGAAGCAGAAGAUGAAACACAUGGGAAAUUCCAGGAAAUGUCAGUUUUCAGAUGAGCUGGUAAAGAAAAUAUGGUGAGACAAUAAUUAUAUGGCAUUAGCAAAAGGGUCACAAAGCUUGGAAAUAUUCUGGAAGUUACUGAUAGCUCCUUCUCUAUGGGACACAGCAGCCUGUGAUCACAGAUUAAUAUAUUCCACUGCCAUUCAUAACCAUUGUUUCAAAUGUCUCUGAAGACAAGUGGCUGAAAGAUACCCACCCACGAGAACGAGAGAGAGAGAUGGGGUGAGGUAGACAGAAGAGAGAGGAAAAGGAAGAAGGAGAGGGGGUUUGAUUUUGGGGGUUUGUGCCACCAUGACCCAAUAUAAACCUAUACAGAAAAAAACAUAAUAGACACUUUGUGAUUUUUCAGACGUGAAAGAGUCAAAAGAAGAUUGUAGAUCACUAUGGGCAUUUUAUGAUGCGUGCAUUAUUAGAUGUAGCUCAGGUAGUAGUCCUGAGGCCACCUGUGUGCUGCAACUUGAGUAGUGUGAAACCAAAUUUAGGGCAGUGUUCUGAAAGUGUGACUUCAAUUUUAAAGUUCAACAGGGACAGCAGGGUGUUAUUGGUUACCGUCCUGCCUACAUGACAUGAAGUCAACUGUUCAAAAUUAAAAUAUUUCCAGGAACCAUCAGAAGACCACUGAGCACACUAGAAAUCU